GCCUGGGCCGAGUGCAGUGGUGUUUACAACUAACUGAUCACAACCAGUUACAGGUUUCUUUGUUCCUUCCCCACUCCCACUGCCUCACUUGACUAGCCUAAA
ensembl:Y_RNA Y_RNA Y RNA